rnacentral:rRNA from 1 species
UGGGGAAUCUUCCGCAAUGGACGAAAGUCUGACGGAGCAACGCCGCGUGUAUGAUGAAGGUCUUCGGAUUGUAAAGUACUGUCAUUGGGGAAGAACGGUUUUCUUGAGAAGAUUGAGAAGACAUGACGGUACCCAAGGAGGAAGCCCCGGCUAACUACGUGCCAGCAGCCGCGGUAAUACGUAGGGGGCAAGCGUUGUCCGGAAUUAUUGGGCGUAAAGGGCGCGUAGGCGGGCCUUUAAGUUCGGUGUGAAAGAUCAGGGCUCAACCCUGAGAGUGCAUCGGAAACUGGAGGCCUUGAGGACAGGAGAGGAAAGUGGAAUUCCACGUGUAGCGGUGAAAUGCGUAGAUAUGUGGAGGAACACCGGUGGCGAAGGCGACUUUCUGGACUGUAACUGACGCUGAGGCGCGAAAGCGUGGGGAGCAAACAGGAUUAGAUACCCUGGUAGUCCACGCCGUAAACGAUGAGUGCUAGGUGUAGAGGGUAUCGACCCCUUCUGUGCCGCAGUUAACACAAUAAGUACUCCGCCUGGAAGUACGAUCGCAAGAUUAAAACUUAAAUGAAUUGACGGGGUCAUAGCUGUUUCCU